rnacentral:lncRNA from 1 species
AUGGGCUUGGAAGAUUCAGAAGCCAGUGCCUUACCGCUCUUUGCCUAUGGAUCAUGAAGUAGCUCUGAGUUCCAGCUCCAGUGCCUGCCUGCCUGCUGCUUAUGGACUAAACCUCUGAAACUGUAAGCAAGCCUCCAGUCAAAUGAUUUGUAAGAGCUGACUUGGUCAUAGUAUCUCUUCUCAGCCGUAGAACAGUGACUAAGACACUAAGUAUUCAUCAGACACUGCUUACAGGCUGCCACCUUUGUAAAACAAACAAGCAAACACUCGCCCCUUGAGCAGAAUUAGGCCCCUUCUUCCUUUGCUUACUAGGCAGUGGUGUGAACCCCUGGUUGUCAUGCAACUCCCUUGUGGAUUCUGUAAAAUAGGUGCCCUCUUUAGCCCUGACUUCGGAAGUGCUUAGGUACUCCACAUGUGUGUUUAUUUGGGUUGAACACAGGAUAAUCAUAUUUAAGAAGUUUCUCUCCUCUCUCUCCUUUUUAUUUUUGAGAUCAUUAUAUAAUUGUAACAUUUUUCCCUUGCCUUUACUCCCUUCAACAGUCUUCCAUAUACCCUUCCCAAGUUUACUUCAAAUUUGUGGCCUCUUCUUUGAUUGUCGCUGCAUGCAUAUAUGAAUAUUUAUGUUGGUAUGUAUUCCUGAAUAUUCCCUGCUCCGCCCAUAUGUUACCUGUAUGUAUGUUUCCAGGACCAUUUGGUGCUGAGCAACAGGCACUGCGCUCUUCCCAGGGGAAGACCACCUCCACUGCUCCCAGAUUGCCACAGUUGCCUAUAGUUCUUUGUAAGGGUGAAGUGUUUUGUAGAUGUGUCCAAUUGAGCUAGCCGGCACAACUAGGCAUUCUCAUUGGCUGUGGUUUUCUGUAAGAAGUUUUUAAAACAGUUGAAAAAUAUUAUUAAAAGACUUAGAAAAAUAAUAUAAAGUUUAUUUUUUCUUUAAAAGCAGACAUUAGGAUUUUGUCUCCUUCUUAUGAAACCAAAUAAGUUCAUUUCAAAUCAAUUUCUUUUCCGAAUUUUUUUUUGUAUUUUACUGUAUGAGUAUGGGUAUUUUGCUUACAUAUUAUGUAUAUGCUACAUGUUUGCCUGAUGCCACAGAAGCCAGAAAAGGGAGUCAGGCCUCCUGGAACGGGAGUUAGCCACCAUGUGGGUGCUAGGAAGUGAACCUGGGUUCUCUGCAAGAAUGCCCAGUGCUUGGAACUGCUGAGCCAUCUCUCCAGAUUCGCAAAUCAU